GACGAACGCUGGCGGCGUGGAUUAGGCAUGCAAGUCGAACGGUAUCAUCCUUUCGGGGGUGAGAGAGUGGCGAACUGGUGAGUAACACGUAGGUUAUCUACCCUCAAGACGGGGACAACCCAGGGAAACUUGGGCUAAUACCGGAUGUGAGCAACUUUUAGUUGUUUGAAAGGUGGCGUAAGCUGUCGCUUGGGGAUGAGCCUGCGUCCUAUUAGUUAGUUGGUGAGGUAACGGCUCACCUAGGCAAUGAUAGGUAGGCGGCCUUAACGGGUGGUCGCCCACACCUGGGAUUGAGAUACGGCCCAGACUCCUACGGGAGGCAGCAGUCGAGAAUAGUCUACAAUGGUCGGAAGACUGAUAGUGCGACGCCGCGUGAACGAUGAAUCCCUUCGGGGUGUAAAGUUCUUUUAUAUGUGAGCAGUGCUUCUUAUAUUAACAGUAUGGGGAGAGAGAUAUUAGCAUAUGAAUAAGCAACGGCUAACUCCGUGCCCAGCAGCCGCGGU
rnacentral:rRNA from 1 species